CACAACCCUAUCUCUUCACACGCAUCCCUAAUCAGACAACAACAUAAAAGUGUGUUGUAGUCCAUCGAUUGUGGUGCAAACGGCGACUUGAGUAAUGACUGAGUGCGCAUCAUGUGUGAAAGUUGUCAUUUUGUCCGAGCGAGCACAGGACUUGUAAUCUAUAUAUUUGGCAAUCGAGAAUCAUGGUUAAGACAAGAGACGUGGCUCGUUCGAGGCUUAGUGGAUUACAUGUUUAUGCACAGGACUUGAAAAAGAAAGGCAAGGUCAAGGGACUGCAAAAUGCUGCUGAUGUUGCAAGAAAGGGUUAGAAGAAUAUGUUAGAAGAAGUAAGGAACCACUUCAACAAAAUGAUUGAGGAUGAAAGGCAUCAUAAAGCAUAUGUUUCUUCAUCUAAUGAAGUAUUUAAAGAAAGACUGUUCACACAUUACUCACCUAAACAAGUCUGUGAAGUGGCUAAACAUGUGAAACAGAAUGAAAGGCUUAUGGCGAGGGCCAAUGCAACUGGUUUCGUAAGAUUCUUGACCUCAAGUACACGCAGAUAAAUCAUGCUCUAUGUGGAAGUUUGUUAAGAGCAACUGACCCAAAAGCAAGAACAAUAUCAAUAAGGCAAACUAAGCAACAAGUAGAUGCCAACAAUGUGCAUAUGCUUAUGGGCCUACGUAAAGAAGGAGGAGAGGGGUUGAAGAAGUUGAUCUAAAAGGUGAGUUAUACAAUGAAUUGAAAGGGAAGUAUGUUAGACUGAGAUUUUCUGACAUAAAAAACAAGAUCAUUAGAGGUGACGAAGAUGAUAUGUUUGAGCCCUUGCUUGUUCUGUACAUAUUAGGUACGCUUUUGUGUCCCCCUGCGAGAGGAGAAGUAACUUCACGAUUGGUGAAGAUCAUUACUUGUGAGAAAACAACUCUGAAUUCCUAUAAUUGGAGUGAAUUUGUUAUUAAGGAGUUAAUGAGGGAGGUCAAGGAGUACAAGAAGGUUGCAUCUAAUAGGGAGGAAAGAUUAUACGUUAGUGGCUGCCUCUACUUCUUGAUGAUUAUGUUUCUUCAAAACUUUUCCUUGGAUGGUAAUGAGGUGAUCGAGACAAGGGAUGCAUUACUCUAUUGGGAUGAUGAGAAGAUCAAGAAAGCUACCAUGAAGGAGAAAGAGAGUGUUCGAGGGAUCCUGUUUUCAGGUUCUGCAAUAGAGGUGGAAUGCAUGGGACCCACAUCGAUCCUCAAGAUCAAAGAACCCAAGAAACCUACACCGCAGGUAGUACUCAUUAAACCUAUGCAAUAGAAAGACAAUGAAGAUGGUGAUCCUCCACACCCUAAGUUUGAUGAUCUAAAAAUGAAUUGUAUAUAUCACCACAUAAUGGGAUCGUUGGGUGAUGCUAUAGCUAAGAGGUCGUUACAUUUGCAAUCGAAAUCAGGACAAGGUGUUGGUGCAUUUAGUGUUGAAGCAAAUGAAGAUGAUGUUGUGAGGUUUGUGCUGAAGGCUAAAUUACAAAGGAUGAAAUGCAAAUACAAGGAGGUUUCAAUGAGUUUAUUAGGAGAAAAAGGAAGCAAUGUACGAGUCAACGAUGACAUUACUAAAGGGAGUGAUGUGGAGGGCAUGGAAGUAGGAGGCAAGGAUCCAAUCGAAGUUGAAGUUGGGGCUCAAGUGAAUCCCAUUAUUGUCAACUUUGAGCAAACUCAUGGUGACACACUUAGGUUACAAUUGUCAUCAGUAAAGCCUUUGCGAUUAGAUGUGCUUGAAGAGGAGGACACUUACCACAGACCAACUCUUGAACAAGGCAUAGAUGGAGGUGAGACUAUAAUGGCAACCCUUAUAAAGCCCUCAUGUUUCUUACUUUCACCCUUCUUCUCAUAUGCAUGCUAGCCUUUAGAACAAGAGAGUUUGUACAACAUGUACACUAGUAAGCCAAAACGUGGACAAGAGGAUGAUGUUGUUUGUCAAGUAGAUGGGCUCUUCUUAACCAAGAGAGAUAUGUGUUGCUUUGGCCCUAGAUGAUGGAUAAGUAAUUGGGUGGUGAUUAUGAUUUGUAAGAUUUUAAAUUUAGAGCGGAGUCAUGAUGGGCCUUUAAAACGCCUCAUUUUAGAUCCUUUACUGGUGGGAAGCAUGUUAUUGAAUGGGGUCUAAUGGAAGCUGGAAGACCGCAUGAGAUUGAUUAACUCUAAUCGAUCCCAUUAUGAUAUCUUAGCUUGUGAGAUUAUCUUUGCGUCUGUAUGUAAAGAUGAGCAUUGGUGUUGUUACGUUUUUGUCAAGAGGGACAUGACAUUGUACCUUCUUGAUUCAAUGUUACUUGUGACUAAUGGUCUAGCGAGACAACAGUUGAUCCAAGCAAAGAUUGAUCAAGGAAGACAAAUGGCUCAAAACUUUGUCAAAGUUCUUGCAUACUUAUUCCCAGAUGAAUUUGGGCAUAAUCCUACCAUUGACUUCAAAAUUGCCAAGGUUCCAUAACAGA